AGGCAAUUGAAUCUAGUUUACAAUGGUA
rnacentral:sRNA from 1 species